CAGCGCUGCAUCCCGCGCCCCAUGUGUAUCGCGAGCGGUUCAAGCUAAUUUCGACCAUCGGUCCUACAGUAAGGUCCGCUGCAGGCAACUUUACAUUCGACAAACAUUAUUUGGGUUUGGUACAGCAGUAGUGUGGCAGUAAUGUCUAGGGAUCGAGCCGCACAAUUAAGUUUGUUUUUUAGUGUACAUUAUUUUUCCAGAUACAAAGUACCUACCCAGUGUUGUGCCCAGUAUAAAGUAUAAUUAUACCAAGUUGCUUCGUUAUCAGAUGAUGAAUCAAUCGGUAGUUUUUGCAUGAUUCGUGAACAUACAGCUCUCUGUUGUCUCUGCUCACAGACAGACAAAUAUUUUUUAUAUAAAAUGUUUGUGGUUUGUGUAUUUCUAGUAACACUCCUACAAUGUACAGAAUUAACACUUGUACGUUAUAUGUAUUGUAUAGAUUAUACAAGUAUUGUUUUCUAGCAGGUCCUAGUGACAGUUUGUUUCCAACCGAGAAACAAUACAACUUGUACCUAAAUAGGUCCCCACCUAACCAAUAAAUACCUUACAUAAAGUAUAUGUUUGGCAGCAAUCAGUAACGCUGCGAUGAUAAUGCUUUCAUUUCUACAAGGUUCGUACGUCGUACGUGAUCCAAUUUCCGAAUUCUUGAUACUUGGGCAAGUUAUCUACGAUAUUGUUGUGGACGCGUGGCGCGAGGGCUUAUCUACAGAUAGUAGCGGCUGAAGCAGUCACUCCAGCAGUGUUGUAGUCGCGCCGCGCGUGCACCGCUCUCAUACAAGUCGUUGUUUGAUUACGUACCAGUGGUUAGGCUGUAAGUCAAUGUGAGCACUACAGGGUACAGGGAAAUUAGAUUAAACACAAAUAAGUCAUCGAUGAUUGGAAACGGCGCGCUAUCUGUGUUCGGCGAUGAUGCAUUGUUCGAUGAUUAAUGGUUAUAUAUACGAUAGUACCAAGAAAAUAGAACAACAAGUGUCGAGCGGCGUGUCGAGCGGCCCGCGGAGAUAUCAGUGAUAAGAUAAGCUGCGAGCGUGCUGUCGCCAGUCCCGAGCGGCCCCGCACCGAGCUGCAGCAUGUGCCGGCGCGCCGCGCCCGUGCUGCUGGCGCACGUCAACCUCCUGCUCACCCUGUACGGCGGCGCGGCGCUGGCCACGGCGGCGCGGCUCAAGUGGGACCCCAGCACGUACCUGGCGCUGCGCGAGCUGUUCCCGGCGGAGUACCGCGCGGCCUGCGCCGUGCUGACGGCGGGCGGCGCGGCGCUGCUGGCGCUGCCGCACCUGGCGGCCGCCGCGGCACACGUCGCGCGCGCACACCGCGCCGCGCUGCUUUACCUGUACGCGGCGCUCAUGGCGACGCUGGUGCUGGGCGAGGUGGCCUUCUGCGUGUGGCUGGCGCUGCAGGUGGCGGCCUGGCAGCAGUCGGAGGCGGCGCGCCAGCUGGCCGAGGCGCUGGAGCUCAGCGACCACCUGCGGCCGCUGCUGGACUACAUGGCGCGCUGGCACCCGCUGCCGCAGCGCGUGGACGAGCUCAUACAGGAGGCGAGCGAGGACGCGCCGCGCAACGCGUACGUGGCGCUGGGGCUGGGCGUGCUGCUGCCGGCGCUGCAGCUGCUGGGCGCCGCGGCCGCGCUGCUGGCGGCGCGCGCCCCCGCGCCCCCCGCGCCGCCGCGCGCUCCGACUCCGACGCCGAGCUAUCGCUGCAGCCGCGCCCGCCCUCCUACAACAGCGGGUGGGCUCGCUGGCGAGGCCGGCGGGCGGGCCACGUGGCCGCCUCUUGUGUUACCUUCGUACUCAAGAUUUAUUAUAGAGAGAAACCGGCGAAGAGAGCUCCCAUCGCCCCCUGUUGAGUGUUUGUGACGUCCGUCCGCAGUGCGUCCGGCUACGGCUACCAGAAGAUGCCGCGCACCGCCUACCGCAACGGCCGCAUCGUCGUGCUGGGCUAGCGGCGCGCCCCCGCGCCCCGCGCCCGCGCCCCCGCCCCCGCGCCGCCACGAGCCUCGCCCCCGAGCUGCGC